rnacentral:lncRNA from 1 species
AUUUACCCAGCGGACAAUGACCAGAAGGUCCUUUGCAUGGGAAGCUUGUUUCCUGAGGCCUCCCAACCAGUGGACGUCCUGGUGGCUGUUGUCUGAGCUCUGUCCAGCUUAUGCCUGCCUGACCAUUGCUCUGGCACUGGGAGUCCAACCUCAUGUUCCCAGCAUCCCGGGGAAACGCAGCCUGGGGAAGCCCCCGGUUCUUCAGCUGGAAGGGAGAAACCAACAGUGCACAAAAUGGUGACUGUCACCAGACACUGAAUCUGCCAGCACCUGGAUCCUGGACUUCCUAGCCUCCAGAACAGACUGCAAGCAGACAGUCACUCUGCAUGGCCCCACUGUAAGGAUGUCAACCUUUAGCGGCAGCUUGGACCUUCAAGGGGUCAUCAGCAGAGCCGCACUGAUCAGCUGCUCGGAGUCCAGCUCUGACUGAUGAAGUCAGCUAAUGGUCCACGCGCCCCUUCUCAUUAAUAACUCACCUCCAUGGGCAGCUGGGUCCAGGUCUCUGCCCCUGGUAUCACAUUAUAUGAUAAUUAUAUUCAGAUUAGUUUUUCAUAUCCUUUGGACAGAGACAUGCUAAUUUGGGUACUUAGACAUUAAAAUCUUAUAAAGUUC